UACAUUAAGGUGUAAGAUGCACAUUAGUUUUUGAUGCUAAGGGUGACAGUUUAAUUCUGUCUUGUGUAA
rnacentral:tRNA from 1 species